UGCUGGCGUCCAUUCGCUUUGCUAGUGAAUCAAUCGUUGGCAACUGUAAAUGACAGAAAAAACACAGCUGAGGCGUUGACAACCAAAUGCGUACCACAAAAUGAGCGAUAAAAAUGGAAUUCUAAUUGUAAUCAAGCGAAAAAAAAAACAUACACAAAAAAUAAAAAAAGAAGAGCGGGGAAGAGAAGUGAAUUGAUAAGCGGAGCGUGUUUGAUCGAUAAAGAAGUGAGGCAG